GGCCGACUAGCUCAGUUGGUUAGAGCGUCGUGCUAAUAUCUGAUUUGACGGCUGUUUCUUGGCAACAUGGGAUGGCUGACGGGUCAUGUUACGCGAAGGUCUUGGGUUCGAUCCCCACGUUGGCCA